GACGAACGCUGGCGGCGUGCUUAACACAUGCAAGUCGAACGAAGAGCGAUGGAAGCUUGCUUCUAUCAAUCUUAGUGGCGAACGGGUGAGUAACGCGUAAUCAACCUGCCCUUCAGAGGGGGACAACAGUUGGAAACGACUGCUAAUACCGCAUACGAUCUAAUCUCGGCAUCGAGGAUAGAUGAAAGGUGGCCUCUACAUGUAAGCUAUCACUGAAGGAGGGGAUUGCGUCUGAUUAGCUAGUUGGAGGGGUAACGGCCCACCAAGGCGAUGAUCAGUAGCCGGUCUGAGAGGAUGAACGGCCACAUUGGGACUGAGACACGGCCCAGACUCCUACGGGAGGCAGCAGUGGGGAAUCUUCCGCAAUGGACGAAAGUCUGACGGAGCAACGCCGCGUGAGUGAUGACGGCCUUCGGGUUGUAAAGCUCUGUUAAUCGGGACGAAAGGCCUUCUUGCGAAUAGUGAGAAGGAUUGACGGUACCGGAAUAGAAAGCCACGGCU
rnacentral:rRNA from 1 species